AUGAGCAAGAGCCCAGACCACUUCGAGUACUGUCAACAUUUCUGAUGAAUGCUUGAUGUCUUUUCCUCCAGAAUUGAGUAGGCCCCGUUCUUAGUACAGGGCUCCAAUAGGCAUGAGUUGUAAGGCAUGCAUACUUUGAGUCAGUGUAGAUGUUGACACGUAGACCCAUGACCAGUUGCAAGGCCCUGGUCUGGUUCUGGGAGUUGACAGUUUCACAGUGGUUCCUUGGGUUCUCAGCAUAGCAUGGCCUGGUACUCUGUGGUUAAAAGGCAUAUGGAACCCAAACAUAGAGUUCUUGUCCUACUGUCA